rnacentral:rRNA from 1 species
UAGCCGUAAACGAUACUCGCUAGGUGUCGGCCACGGUGCGACCGUUGUCGGUGCCGUAGGGAAGCCGUGAAGCGAGCCACCUGGGAAGUACGGCCGCAAGGCUGAAACUUAAAGGAAUUGGCGGGGGGAGCACAACAACGGGUGGAGCUUGCGGCUUAAUUGGAUUCAACGCCGGAAAUCUUACCGGGACCGACAGCAACAUGAAGGCCAAGCUGAAGACUUUGCCGGAUUAGCUGAGAGGAGGUGCAUGGCGUAGUCGUG